AUUGAACGCUGGCGGCAGGCCUAACACAUGCAAGUCGAGCGGUAGCACAGAGAGCUUGCUCUCGGGUGACGAGCGGCGGACGGGUGAGUAAUGUCUGGGAAACUGCCUGAUGGAGGGGGAUAACUACUGGAAACGGUAGCUAAUACCGCAUAACGUCGCAAGACCAAAGAGGGGGACCUUCGGGCCUCUUGCCAUCAGAUGUGCCCAGAUGGGAUUAGCUAGUAGGGGGGGUAACGGCUCACCUAGGCGACGAUCCCUAGCUGGUCUGAGAGGAUGACCAGCCACGCUGGAACUGAGACACGGUCCAGACUCCUACGGGAGGCAGCAGUGGGGAAUAUUGCACAAUGGGCGCAAGCCUGAUGCAGCCAUGCCGCGUGUAUGAAGAAGGCCUUCGGGUUGUAAAGUACUUUCAGCGGGGAGGAAGGUGUUGUGGUUAAUAACCACAGCAAUUGACGUUACCCGCAGAAGAAGCACCGGCUAACUCCGUGCCAGCCGCCGCAGUAACAC
rnacentral:rRNA from 1 species